UAGUUUCUCAUUUUAUAAUGAUUAUUUUAUUACUGAAUUUAGUUGAAGUGUUUUUGAAACUUCCCGUUUACUAUUCAAAGCAAUAAUCAAUGAUUGAUAAUAAAAUCAUUGGUAUAUAUAUUUCUGUUUCAUUAAUAUUUCUAUUAAUAGAGAGCAUAGCAUCAACUGAGAAGGUCAUGUCGUGCAGCGUCUUAUGUGAGGAAGUUAAAUCGAAUUUAACUGAUCUUCGAUCACAGUGUCAUGUUUGUUUGCAGAUGAGCUGAAAUGCAUGUUUUCCAGCUGACAGACCAUGUUGACAGAUAAAAAGCUUCAUGCCAUUGAACGGGAUUUCAAGGAUGGAUUGAGAAAGAAGGUUGCAAGGACCCAACACCCCCCCCCCUGUUUUAUUUUGCAAUAACCUUUGUCAUCAAUCUUGUGGACUGCCCAAAAUUAAUAGUUUUGCAUUAUACAUAAUAUCACACUCCCACUCACCACCAGGGACCUGUUUAUAAAGGGUUAUGACUACUUUAACUUUUGCCAAUAUUUUAGCUACCAUGAUAACCCUGAUUGUGGUUGGCUGCUAACCAUGUUAGUGGUACAAAGUUGGAAUCGUUUUAUGAAACAGGCCCCAGAUUUGGCCUACAAAAUUUAUCUGGGAAGGAAAACUUUAAUAAAAUUUUGACAAGACAAAAUUAGUAUUUAUUGAAGUUUAUUUGAACUGUCUACAAGCGUUUGCUACUUAUUGUAUACCAAAUCAACGUAAUUGUGUUGCUAUAACAACUGUUCAACGGCAUUUGUUUGAAAUUGUAAAUCUCGAAACAAAGAGAA